AAGUCGUAACAAGGUUUCCGUAGGUGAACCUGCGGAAGGAUCAUUAACACGUAUCCAACGUUAAACAACCCUGUGAACUUUCAACGCUCUUGUAGCCCCAGAGGAACAGCAAUCCCGGUAAAUCAAUGGCGGAAAAGUUUUGAUUCGGGACCUCUGUCCAAAAGGUAUCAAGUUACAAUCGAGCAGAGCAGUGGCAUGGUUUCCCUAAGCAGUGCAGAAGGAUCCACUGAGUAAGGAUAACGCAUCACGGUUGCCAGAGGUCGAUCACCGGCCGGCAGACAUGUCACAGGGCGCGCGCGCCCCAAGCCUCGCGGAAACGCCGGGCAUAAAAACCGAACAACUGUUAACAAUGGAUAUCUUGGUUCUC
rnacentral:misc_RNA from 1 species